rnacentral:rRNA from 1 species
AGUGAACGCUGGCGGUAGGCCUAACACAUGCAAGUCGAACCGCAGCACGGUAAGAGCUUGCUCUUACGGGUGGCGAGUGGCGGACGGGUGAGGAAUACAUCGGAAUCUACUUUUUCGUGGGGGAUAACGUAGGGAAACUUACGCUAAUACCGCAUACGACCUACGGGUGAAAGCAGGGGAUCUUCGGACCUUGCGCGAUUGAAUGAGCCGAUGUCGGAUUAGCUAGUUGGCGGGGUAAAGGCCCACCAAGGCGACGAUCCGUAGCUGGUCUGAGAGGAUGAUCAGCCACACUGGAACUGAGACACGGUCCAGACUCCUACGGGAGGCAGCAGUGGGGAAUAUUGGACAAUGGGCGCAAGCCUGAUCCAGCCAUACCGCGUGGGUGAAGAAGGCCUUCGGGUUGUAAAGCCCUUUUGUUGGGAAAGAAAAGCAGCAGGUUAAUACCCCGCUGUUCUGACGGUACCCAAAGAAUAAGCACCGGCUAACUCCGUG